rnacentral:misc_RNA from 1 species
CUGGGUUUUUCAAAACUGGAUCACUUCAAGCUACAAGUGUUUGCAGAUGGCGGGUUUUCAAUCAUUUGAAUUGCCAUUUUGAGCUCUAAUUGCAGGGCAGAUCUCGAAGGGGCCAAGAUGAUAUCUUUCCAAACCGUGCCGGAUUCGUAUAUUGGGGAAGGGUCAGGAUAAAGCUCGUAGAUAGAUUCUGCAUCAGAGUUUAUACUGCUCACAUUUGUCAAGCAUCUGAUAUCUACUGGAUCAAUUAGCAACUUGCUGUCUGCGUCUUUCCUCGCUAUCAACGUAGGUGGUCCUCCCACUGCAUUGGUGCAAUAUAGCCUGGCAUUGUCAACAAGUUCGCAGUAUCUUGGAAAUGCAGCAGCAAAUCUCUGGUGGGACUUCAACUGUGAACCAACCCUCACAGCUCUUCUGGUUAUUAUAGCUCUCCUGAUGCCUCUAACAACAGCAAGAUAAGCAUCACAAACAACUCCAACCAUCUCUAUCCUGUAUGGUUUCCUUUCCUGAAUUUCAUCUUCCUCUCUUUCCCAGUAA